rnacentral:tRNA from 1 species
UCCUCGUUAGUAUAGUGGUGAGUAUCCCCGCCUGUCACGCGGGAGACGCGGGGUUCGAUUCCCCGACGGGGAG